GGAGAGGUGGCUGAGCGGCUGAAAGCAACGGUUUGCUAAACCGUCAUACUGGACCAAAUCCGGUAUCGAGGGUUCGAAUCCCUCCCUCUCCGCCA
rnacentral:tRNA from 1 species